GAGGAUGGCUCAGUGGUUAAGAGCACUGACUGUUCUUCCAGAGGACCUGGGUUCAAAACCCAGCAACCACA
rfam:Rattus norvegicus chromosome 2, whole genome shotgun sequence.